rnacentral:rRNA from 1 species
UACGUAGGGUGCGAGCGUUGUCCGGAAUUACUGGGCGUAAAGCGCACGUAGGCGGUUAGGUAAGUCGGAUGUGAAAGCCCUGGGCUUAACCUGGGAACUGCAUUCGAUACUGCCUGGCUAGAGUAUGGGAGAGGGAAACGGAAUUUCCGGUGUAGCGGUGAAAUGCGUAGAUAUCGGAAGGAACACCAAUGGCGAAGGCAGCUUCCUGGCCCAAUACUGACGCUCAGGUGCGAAAGCGUGGGGAUCAAACAGG